ACUCUCAGUUUUUCAAGACAUCUCUCUCUCUCUCUCUAUAUAUAUAUAUAUACACACACACACACAUAUAUAUCUAUAUCUAUAUCUCAAUUGGGAUUUUUUUCUAACUCUUGAAGAUUUAUUUGGGUUUUAAUCUUUACGAUUUGGGGUCAUUUUGAGCUGCAAAAUGGAAAGGGAUUUCAUGGGUUUGAAUGUUAAGGAAGAAGCAGCCAUGGAAGCAGAAGGUUUCCAAAGCUUCAACAAUCAUCACUCCCCUGAAAUUAAGAAAUGGAUUGGUGGUUCUACUGGAACUCAUUCUGUUCAAUUAACCAUCUUUUAUGGUGGUAUGGUUAAUGUAUACGACGAUAUCUCCCCCGAGAAGGCUCAGGCUAUAAUGCUAUUGGCCGGAAACGGGAGUCGGGUUCAAGCUCAUAUGGCUACACCAAGGACUCCGGCAGGAGACGGGGCUAACAAAACCCUUUCGAGCCAAGGGUCUGUUGGUCCAGCGACUGGCAUUGGACCGCCACCGAAUGGGAUGAGUUCACUUGGACGAAUGAUCCAGUCAGCUGUUCCUCAGAUGCGUGGAGCGUCUUUGGCUCGGUUUCUAGAGAAGCGUAAAGAAAGAGUGAUGGCUUCGGCUCCUUACAACCUCGGUAAGAGCUCGUUCGGCAAACCCGAAUCCAGCAACGGACCAGAGAAAGACGAUAAGCAGUAACGACAAGUUUAUGUAUAACAAUUAUUUCAAAGUUUUGUAAUCGAUCUCUACAGGUUCAUCGGUUUUAGUCUCGUUUCUAGUAGAAACUUGUUUUUGGAGAUUAUUUGACGACGACCGUGUAGUUAUCGUUGUAACGUAUGAUCACGCAUUCGGAUAUAGUAUAGAUAGAAAAACUUCCAAGGACGUCUUUUAAUUUGAUUGUACUGCACUUCAUAUUUGUAAUAACAUUAUGAUGUCAUCUUAUAAGCUAUAACCUGAUUUCGCA